rnacentral:rRNA from 1 species
UUAAUUCGAUGCGACGCGAAAACCUUACCUACCCUUGACAUGCUAGGAACUUGCCAGAGAUGGCUUGGUGCCCGAAAGGGAACCUAGACACAGGUGCUGCACGGCUGUCGUCAGCUCGUGUCGUGAGAUGUUGGGUUAAGUCCCGCAACGAGCGCAACCCUUGUCAUUAAUUGCCAUCAUUCAGUUGGGCACUUUAAUGAGACUGCCGGUGACAAACCGGAGGAAGGUGGGGAUGACGUCAAGUCCUCAUGGCCCCUAUGGGUAGGGCUUCACACGUAAUACAAUGGUCGGUACAGAGGGUUGCCAACCCGCGAGGGGGAGCCAAUCCCAGAAAACCGAUCGUAGUCCGGAUUGCAGUCUGCAACUCGACUGCAUGAAGUCGGAAUCGCUAGUAAUCGCAGGUCAGCAUACUGCGGUGAAUACGUUCCCGGGUCUU